UUUGUACUCCAUCCGUCCGAAAAUUCUUGUCUUAAAUUUGUCUAAAUACGGAUGUAUCUAGUUACAUUUUAGUGUUAGAUACAUCAAUAUCUAAACAAAUGUAAGACAAGAAUUUUGGGAUGGAGGGAAUACUAC
rfam:Triticum urartu cultivar G1812 contig817519, whole genome shotgun sequence.